rnacentral:rRNA from 1 species
GAUGAACGCUGGCGGCGUGCCUAAUACAUGCAAGUCGAGCGAACAGAUAAGGAGCUUGCUCCUUUGACGUUAGCGGCGGACGGGUGAGUAACACGUGGAUAACCUACCUAUAAGACUGGGAUAACUUCGGGAAACCGGAGCUAAUACCGGAUAACAUAUUGAACCGCAUGGUUCAAUAGUGAAAGGCGGCUUUGCUGUCACUUAUAGAUGGAUCCGCGCCGUAUUAGCUAGUUGGUAAGGUAACGGCUUACCAAGGCAACGAUACGUAGCCGACCUGAGAGGGUGAUCGGCCACACUGGAACUGAGACACGGUCCAGACUCCUACGGGAGGCAGCAGUAGGGAAUCUUCCGCAAUGGGCGAAAGCCUGACGGAGCAACGCCGCGUGAGUGAUGAAGGUCUUCCGAUCGUAAAACUCUGUUAUCAGGGAAGAACAAAUGUGUAAGUAACUGUGCACAUCUUGACGGUACCUGAUCAGAAAGCCACGGCUAACUACGUGCCAGCAGCCGCGGUAAUACGUAGGUGGCAAGCGUUAUCCGGAAUUAUUGGGCGUAAGCGCGCGUAGGCGGUUUUUUAGUCUGAUGUGAAAGCCCACGGCUCAACCGUGGAGGGUCAUUGGAAACUGGAAAACUUGAGUGCAGAAGAGGAAAGUGGAAUUCCAUGUGUAGCGGUGAAAUGCGCAGAGAUAUGGAGGAACACCAGUGGCGAAGGCGACUUUCUGGUCUGUAACUGACGCUGAUGCGCGAAAGCGUGGGGAUCAAACAGGAUUAGAUACCCUGGUAGUCCACGCCGUAAACGAUGAGUGCUAAGUGUUAGGGGGUUUCCGCCCCUUAGUGCUGCAGCUAACGCAUUAAGCACUCCGCCUGGGGAGUACGACCGCAAGGUUGAAACUCAAAGGAAUUGACGGGGACCCGCACAAGCGGUGGAGCAUGUGGUUUAAUUCGAAGCAACGCGAAGAACCUUACCAAAUCUUGACAUCCUCUGACCCCUCUAGAGAUAGAGUUUUCCCCUUCGGGGGACAAAGUGACAGGUGGUGCAUGGUUGUCGUCAGCUCGUGUCGUGAGAUGUUGGGUUAAGUCCCGCAACGAGCGCAACCCUUAAGCUUAGUUGCCAUCAUUAAGUUGGGCACUCUAAGUUGACUGCCGGUGACAAACCGGAGGAAGGUGGGGAUGACGUCAAAUCAUCAUGCCCCUUAUGAUUUGGGCUACACACGUGCUACAAUGGACAAUACAAAGGGCAGCUAAACCGCGAGGUCAAGCAAAUCCCAUAAAGUUGUUCUCAGUUCGGAUUGUAGUCUGCAACUCGACUACAUGAAGCUGGAAUCGCUAGUAAUCGUAGAUCAGCAUGCUACGGUGAAUACGUUCCCGGGUCU